rnacentral:rRNA from 1 species
UACGUAGGGGGCGAGCGUUGUCCGGAAUCAUUGGGCGUAAAGCGCGUGUAGGCGGCCCGGUAAGUCCGCUGUGAAAGUCCAGGGCUCAACCCUGGGAUGCCGGUGGAUACUGUCGGGCUCGAGUCCGGAAGAGGCGAGUGGCAUUCCUGGUGUAGCGGUGAAAUGCGCAGAUAUCAGGAGGAACACCAAUGGCGAAGGCAGCUCGCUGGGACGUGACUGACGCUGAGACGCGAAAGCGUGGGGAGCAAACAGG